CAUCCACCACCUUGAAACAAUUCCUUGCCUACGAUUUUAACUAUACUCAGAGAGCAGCAGCAUCCAGAGGAAACAGUCUCCUGAAAUUGUAAUCCAUUAGCCCAGCCAUACAGAGGAGCAAAGUUUGGAGCAGCAAAUUAGGAAAGAAAAGGUCAACUUGCACAGGACAGUCUGAGAGGGAAGCCAAUCAGCCAAAAAGAAUUCUCGCCUCAUAUCCCAAAGGACUCCAGAACUUUGCCAUGCGGUUUGCCAAGAGAAGCCUGUGUGAUGAGCUUCCCAAUGAAAACCCUGGACACGGGGUCUUGAUAGACAUUUUACACACGUUGUCAGGAUCUGAUGCUCGGGGAUUAGGCGUGUCCUGUGUGACUCCCUGGGAAGAACACAAGUCUUGCAAGCUUGUACCUGAUUUCCUCUGGAUUUCCCUCGAUGGAGCCGUUUCCUUUUUCUGCUUUCGCUUUGUAUCUUUUCGAUACAAUAAAUCAUAGUCUUGAG